ACUAAAAAGUCAAUUAUAUUGAAAGCAAGAAAGCUGGAAGCAUAAAUCAUAAGGAUGGUCCUCUAUAACUUCGACUACCACGAGGAAGAAGCAAA